AACAUCCGGGACGAGAACUGAAACUGCAUUGCCUCUGCCAGUCAGUGUAGGGACCACAUCUCAUACAGAAGCCUACGACGCUCCCAGGUGUUGUGGGAUUUCGUUUGCCAUAACAGCCCAGCAUUUGUAGCAGGGCAGGAUUGCUGGAGAAGCUCGGAGCUUGAGCCAGCGGUCAAUAAGUGCAUUUUUUCUUCGAAUAAUGUGUGCCUACCUACCUGCCUCCAAGAAGGUGUGGCGAAGAUACCUGAUUGCUCUGCAGAAGAUGCCAUCCUCGUGCGGCGCUUGGCACGUAUUAGUACAGAGGGAAGGCAGGCAUCAUGCCAGAUUCAGUUCUCGCCUCUUUCUGGGCAAGGAAGUGGCCAUGGAAUCUCCACGUUCACAAGGAAACGACCAUUGAAACUCCGCGAAAUAUGCGGACUAGACUGUCCAGGUCACGAUCUGACUUUCAUUAUUAUUUUUCAAACCAACGAAUUUUGGAGUUCAUUUAAAACCACCAAAACAAGUAAUAACAUAACAGGAAUUAUUGACACACAAUUUCAGCUUCGAACUCCGUUUCAGUCAAUACGUCUUGCUAUUGUACCAUGCUGUUCUUUGUGUCAUUUACUAAAUCUGUUUAAUAAAGGCACUAUUGCAUCCUU